rnacentral:rRNA from 1 species
GUGCAGCAGGCGCGAACCUCCGCAAUACACGAAGUGUGACGGGUUACCCAAGUGUCCAAAUUUGGACUGUGGUAGGCGAGUAAUGUCCCUACUAGAAGGAGAGGGCAAGGCUGGUGCCAGCCGCCGCGGUAAACCAGCUCUUCAAGUGGUCGGGAUAAUUAUUGGGCUUAAAGUGUCCGUAGCCGGUUUAGUAAGUUCCUGGUAAAAUCGGGUAGCUUAACUAUCUGUAUGCUAGGAAUACUGCUAUACUAGAGGGCGGGAGAGGUCUGAGGUACUACAGGGGUAGGGGUGAAAUCCUGUAAUCCUUGUAGGACCACCAGUGGCGAAGGCGUCAGACUGGAACGCGCCUGACGGUGAGGGACGAAAGCCAGGGGAGCGAACCGGAUUAGAUACCCGUGUAGU